rnacentral:rRNA from 1 species
AACGAACGCUGGCGGCAUGCCUAACACAUGCAAGUCGAACGAGACCUUCGGGUCUAGUGGCGCACGGGUGCGUCACGCGUGGGAACCUGCCCUUAGGUUCGGAAUAACUCCCCUAAAGGGGUGCUAAUACCGGAUAAUGUCUUCGGACCAAAGAUUUAUCGCCUUUGGAUGGGCCCGCGUUGGAUUAGCUAGUUGGUAGGGUAAAAGCCUACCAAGGCGACGAUCCAUAGCUGGUCUGAGAGGAUGAUCAGCCACACUGGGACUGAGACACGGCCCAGACUCCUACGGGAGGCAGCAGUGGGGAAUAUUGGACAAUGGGCGAAAGCCUGAUCCAGCAAUGCCGCGUGAGUGAUGAAGGCCUUAGGGUUGUAAAGCUCUUUUACCCGGGAUGAUAAUGACAGUACCGGGAGAAUAAGCUCCGGCUAACUCCGUG